UACGUAGGGGGCAAGCGUUGUCCGGAAUCAUUGGGCGUAAAGAGCUCGUAGGCGGUGUGUCGCGUCGGUCGUGAAAACUUGGGGCUUAACUCUGAGCUUGCGGUCGAUACGGGCAUCACUGGAGUUCGGCAGGGGAGACUGGAAUUCCUGGUGUAGCGAUGAAAUGCGCAGAUAUCAGGAGGAACACCGGUGGCGAAGGCGGCUCUCUGGUCCACAACUGACGCUGAGGUGCGAAAGCUAGGGGAGCAAACGGG
rnacentral:rRNA from 1 species